rnacentral:tRNA from 1 species
GCAGCUUUAGCUCAUUUGGGAGAGCGUCAGACUGAAGUAAACUUCAAUCAUAAAUCUGAAGGCACUGUGUUCGAUCCACAGAAGCUGCA